AGUGAACGCUGGCGGUAGGCCUAACACAUGCAAGUCGAACGGCAGCACAGUAAGAGCUUGCUCUUACGGGUGGCGAGUGGCGGACGGGUGAGGAAUACAUCGGAAUCUACUUUUUCGUGGGGGAUAACGUAGGGAAACUUACGCUAAUACCGCAUACGACCUACGGGUGAAAGCAGGGGAUCUUCGGACCUUGCGCGAUUGAAUGAGCCGAUGUCGGAUUAGCUAGUUGGCGGGGUAAAGGCCCACCAAGGCGACGAUCCGUAGCUGGUCUGAGAGGAUGAUCAGCCACCCUGGAACUGGGACACGGUCCAGACUCCUACGGGAGGCAGCAGUGGCGAAUAUUGGACAAUGGGCGCAAGCCUGAUCCAGCCAUACCGCGUGGGAGAAGAAGGCCUUCGGGUUGUAAAGCCCUUUUGUUGGGAAAGAAAAGCAGCAGGUUAAUACCCCGCUGUUCUGACGGUACCCAAAGAAUAAGCACCGGCUAACUUCGUG
rnacentral:rRNA from 1 species